rnacentral:rRNA from 1 species
AUACGGAGGAUCCGAGCGUUAUCCGGAUUUAUUGGGUUUAAAGGGAGCGUAGGCGGACGCUUAAGUCUGUUGUGAAAGUUUGCGGCUCAACCGUAAAAUUGCAGUUGAUACUGGGUGUCUUGAGUACAGUAGAUGCAGGGGGAAGUCGUGGUGUAGCGGUGGAAUGCUUAGAUAUAACAAAGAACACCGAUAGCGAAGGCAGCCUGCUGGACUGUAACUGACGCUGAUGCUCGAAAGUGUGGGAAUCAAACAGGAUUAGAUACCCUGGUAGUCCACACAGUAAACGAUGAAUACUCACUGUUUGCGAUAUACAGUAAGCGGCCAAGCGAAAGCGUUAAGUAUUCCACCUGGGGAGUACGCCGGCAACGGUGAAACUUAAAGGAAUUGACGGGG